GCCCGUGGGGAGCGCGGAGUAACGCCUGGGAGCCGCGCUAGUGGCCAGAAGAAGCAUCAGGCUCGCGGGGUUCCGGGCCGCCCCGCCUCCUCCCCUCCCCCCAUUCACAAACCACUACAGGGGCGGGCCCCCGAGCCCCCGGGCGGCCCAAUGACGGCCUUUGUUUUCUCUGUAGUCGCCUCCCGGUUGGGUGGAAGUCGGAAGGGGCGGGCAAGGGAACAGGGGAGGCGGUGUCUGCAGCGCUCUGGGCGGAUUCCUGAGGGGAGGGGCAGGGGACCGGGAGGAAAAAGUUAGGAAAAACUUUUACCCUGAAUUUGCUCAGGGGAGAAAAACGCACCAGAAAGGAAAUUUGCUUGAAAGAUUUGCUCCUCUUCCAGGUACACUAAAAUACACAUUCCUGAGCAGAAGGGUGCUUUCUCCAAAGGCUCUUGAGAGGAGAAGCUUAAUGCCUUCACCGAGAGACGUGACCCAGAGAAUCACUGUAGCCCUGCCUGGUCUGAAAAGGUAAGAAAGCUCAAGGCCCAGAUGGUGGAAUGUAUUUUCCGAGGAUUGACAGACAGAACUGGGACUGGAAUCCACACAUUUUGGUUCCUGGGACCCUGUUUUAUCCAAGAACCUUGCACAUAAAAUGGCUUUGUGCUCUCUACUUCCUGAUCCUCUCAAACUAGAAAUGGCUUGCAGGAGCUCCAAAGUAAAAGAUCAGAGUGACUAGUCUAAGCCACCACAGGGUGGCUUCUGUCCUGGCCACCCAUCCACUCAAAUGGCCCUCCAGCCUAUUACUUCUCAAUCGGACUUCUAUCAUGGACCACUCCAUAGACCUAAUUUUUAAAGGGGGACUCCAAACUGCUUGCCCAACAUGGUCCCCUUUCAGCUUGAAGAAGCCAGAAUGAUCUUUGCUCCCUUUCCUUACAGCAGUAAGGAGUUCCCAAAAUUAGAGGGGGGAAUGAAGCCAGAUUUAAAGUUAGGUAGUCAGUGUAGUUAGGUAAAUCGGGUCUAAUAUCGAGUGAAAUCUAAAUGGAGGCCAUGUUGAGAAUGAAUUCCUGGAAAAGUAGAGCAACUCUCCUGGAAUGUUAAUGAAGUCCAGGAAAAAGCCCAAGGCCAAGGUCCAUCCCAAAGAAAUGUUAAUGAACAGCCAACUUGAAGAUGCUGAUUCAGAAGUGUCCAGAUUACUUCUUUGGCCCACCUGUGUCCCAACCCUUCAGGCUUUCCCACCUACAUUCCAUCACGGAAAACUAUAAAAUGGAGAGACAACCGCACUUCCAUGGAUUCCAUCUCUUGGGUCCCCUUCUUCCUCCAGGAGAAGUCUUUUCUGCUGUCCUUUAAUAAACUUCUAAUUUUCCACUCUGAAAAUUAAAAAAAAAAAAAAAAAAGAAAAAGAAAACCAAUGGAAGGGUCGGGUGCAUGGUUGGAUUUGACCAGUUGCCCUGUGAUGAAAAAUGACAGUGCUCUCAGGCUUCUUCCUGUUGCUUCUAUGAUUUUUAAUUUGUUCAGGUCUAUAGCAUCUGCAUUCUGAUUUGCAUCUGUUUAUUUCUCCAGAGGUUUAUUGUGUGUUUGCCCCUGAGGGUCACCAAAGAAGCAGAGAGAUUUUCUCACCCCUGACACCAAUAGUGAAGCUUGAACAGACACAGAAGAACUCAAAUAACCAUCAAAGCCCUGUGUAAGUUCAAGAUGGGUAAUGAGACAUCAGGUGCUGUAUGUUGAGAAGGUGGAGCUGGAACAAACUGGUGGCUGGGGUGUUCAAAGACCUGAGAUAGAGGGCUGAGCAGCAUUUCAGUGAUGCUCUGUUCUGUGGAGGGUUGGCAGAAGAAGGCAGGUGGUGGAAGGUGGGCAUCACAGUGUAGGUGGGAGCCACACUAGGCAGGGUUCAUUGGGCACAGGGUUUGGAUUCUCAGGCUUCACAUUACCUGGGUUCCAGUUUUCAUUCUAUUAUUUGCUAGCUAUGUGACUUUAAGCCAGUACUUGAUCUCUCUGAACCUCAAUUUCUUCUCCUCUAACAUGGGAAUAAGACAUUUCCCAUUGUUAACAAAGAUUAAAUGAGAUAAUACAUCUAAAAAGUAAAGCAAUUAGUGCAUUGUAAUAAGUGCUUAGUAAGUGGUGGUUUGUAGAAGCCUUGAGUCCCUAAAUAUAUUGUGAGGUCCUUGGGGGAAGGGAUUAUAUCAUUUAUUCCUCAUUGUAUGCCUCAUAUGUAGUAAAAUGAUCAAUAAAUAUAUGGAUAAUUUUACUGUAUCAAUCACUAUAGUUCAUCGAAAGUAGCAGAAACUAAUUCAAAUUGGCUUAAACUAGAAUGGGUAGCCUAUAGCCUAUAGGUCAAAUCCAGUCUACCACCUGGAUUUGUAUAAGCCAUGAACUAAGAAUGGUUUUUAUAUUUUAAAAUGUUGCUAUAGAAAGCCAAAAGAAUAUUCUGAGAAACUAGAAAAUGAUGUAAAAUUUAAAAUUAAGUGUCUGUAAAUAAAGUUUUAUUGGAACACACCAGAUCAUUCAUUUAUAUAUGAUGUAUGGCAGGGUUGGCAAACUCUUUUUGGGAAGGGCCAGAUAAUAAGUAUUUCAGGCGUGGUGGACUAUAUGUCCACUGUGACAACUACUGAGCUCUACAGUUGUAACGGGCACUAACUGUGGGAGAGAAUAUCUGAGGACAAGAAAUAGUGAAAAGUGGAAGGACUUGUAGACAGGAAGCCAGCUGUCCUGGGUCUUUGGAUUGAUUUUCACCCAUCAAUGUUAGGAUUUUGUUCAAUUGCUUCAAUUCUGAGUCUGAUGGUCUGGGAAACAAAAGAGUUGGACCAGAUUUUGAGUCCUUCUUUUGGUAUCCCAAUUUAAUACUGAAAGUGUAUAGAGCAGUUAGAAUACUUCAAUUGCAGGCAAGAGAAAUCAACUCUAGUUGUGGCAAGAACUCUAGUUCAUUUAAGCAAUAAAGAAAUGCAGGCAAGGGCUGGGGAUGUGGCUCAAGUGGUAGCGCGCUCGCCUGGCAUGGCUGCGGCCCGGGUUCGAUCCUCAGCACCACAUACAAACAAAGAUGUUGUGUCCACCAAAAAAAAAUAAAAAUAAAAAAUAAAUAUUAAAAAAAAAAGAAAAAUAAAAAGAAACGCAGGCAGGAUUCAGAAAUAAUAGGAAAGCAGGAAAUAUAGGCUUUAGAGAGGACAGGUACCAGUGUAGGUCCUUGGGUGCAAGCACCAGGAAUCAAUGGUAAUCUCUUCAGGAUACUUUCACCUCUGACCAUUUUCAAGAACAUUCAAGAUUGAAAUUCUGAUGCUAUGUUUCUCGAGUCAUGUAAAAGAAUUGGCUGUGAUUAUAUCCAACAGAGAGCCAAAGCCAGAUGAGAAGCCAUGACUUGGAAAAAGGGAAUGGAGGUCAAGCAGGCAAAAAUGACAGAGGUUACGACAGUGGAGGGCGUGGUUAUAUGCUAGACCCUGUAGCAUGGGGAGCCAAUGUUUUUUUUUCUUUUUACAUAUAUAUAUUUAGUUGUAGAUGGACACAAUAUCUUUAUUUUUAUUUAUUUUUAUGUAGUGCUGAGGAUCGAACCCAGGGUCUCAUACAUGCAAGGCAAACACUCUACCACUGAGCUAUAACCCCAGCUCACCCAAUGUUGGUUCUUGAGUCAUUAACUCACUCUCUUAGCAAAUAGUUGCUGAACUGUGCAUUGCAUUUUGGAGGACACUGAAGAAGUAUAAUAAUGACCUUUAAGAGUGGUGGGAAAGGGUGCUUGGAAUUUACCCAAGAGGACCUGGGAAUGGGAUUGUAUUUGCUUUUAAUUUGAGUCAUUAAACUAUAUCUGGGCAUAUGCAACUGUAGCUCAUUUAGAAAGAUAUUAAGUAAUUCUCUAAUUAUAUGUAUUACACGUGGACAGAGGAUCCUGAGAAAAGUGACUUCUCUCACAUGUCAAGAGGCAGAACUAAAAGCAGGAUUUGACUUUCUGACUUGAGAAACUGUUCUGAACUAGCCGCCUAGCAACUGUGGCCCAUUUUAGGAGCUGCUCUGACAGGGCCUUGGCACCUGGCUCUCCCUAACCAUGAACUUGUCAAAGGCAGGGACUCUAUGUUUCUCCCAGGGACUUGCAUGGCACUGGAUGCUCAGAAGACAGAUAUGCAGCGAGAAGUCCCCAUUUACAGCUUCUAUGGAGGAAGCCGAGCCUACCUCUGCUUUAGAUGAAGACUUUAGCUGAGGAGUGUGGAAAUCAUCCCAACUCUUGUCAGCAAAGCCUGGUCUAGGGGCAUAGAGAGAACUUAUUUCAGAGAAGAAGAAUUCAGAGACUUUUUGUAAUAAGGGGUUGACCUGAAAGCUUCCUGGUGUUCAGGUUGGACAAUUUAUCCAUCUCAAUGUGCACAUUAUUAGUCUGGCAAAUAAUGAAACAUUAUGAUCUCACAAAGCAAACCAGUGAGUGUAAUUGUCUCCAUUCAUCUCUCCCCUUGUCUAUGGGAAAAAGCAAGGCUGUGCCUUCACAUUUGCUCAGAAGGAAAUGUUUAUAGAAAUUUGUCUUCAAUCAAGUACUUGUGCAUGUGUGCGCACUUUGUUUAGGAAAACUCGCCAGCUCGCUUGACUUACCUUUGAAGGCUCCUGCAGGGGCCCUGACUCAGCUGUCUGGGACCCCUCAGAGGCCUGGGCUCAGAAGCCCCGGCCCACCCGGGGCCAGAGCCCGGCAAGACUAGCCCCACAGCUGGAUCCUGGGACAAUGGACCUCACAGGCCAAGAAAUCAUUUAUUAAAUUAAAGUGCUGAGCCUUUUUUUCUUCACCUUUACCUGAAAAGAGGGGGUUCUUAUUUCUAACUUCUCUGUUUUCCUGAGGCACUUGGUUCGCCCCACCAGGCCUAGGUUUGUGGGAACACAGACAGUUCCAACUUGGGUUUCACAACAACCUACAGUGUGGACAAUUACCUGAAGGCCAGUGCACAGCUCCUCAAAAUUAAAGACACCUCAGUUCACUUUGGCUUAAUAAAUCCACAUCACCCCACCCUGUGAGGAAUGGGGGGGACAUGCUGGGAAAUCAGACUAUGGCUUGUCCUAUCUUAAGGUUGGCUCCUUUGGAGAUUAUUUUGGGUUGAUUCAUCACUAUUUUUCUUAACUCUGUGGCAGAAAUACGGUGUUGAUUUGUUUGAAGAAAGUUUUUUUUUUCUUUUUUUUUUGAUUAUAUCUCACAGUGAACCAGCCUUCUAUAUAUCUCUCCCAAGUUCUUCCGUGGCUUGUUAUCGUAUCCACAUAACUACUGUUCUACUCUUGUGUUCCCACCCCCUUCACCCUUACCAUGUCAUGUUGAUCCCCUCGCCUUGCUUGUGCCAGUCAAUCUGAAGUAUUAGUGAAAAGGCCCAGUCUAGACUGACUUCCUCCAUGCCAAUUCCUAUUGCAACCCCAGUGGGCAGUGAAGAUCUUACAUUCACAUAGAAGAACUUUCUCGUGGGUCACCCCUUGGCUACACUUCCCUUGAAAUCCAAGAGAUUCUCCACCUCUGAUUUCAGCUGGACCUCAUUUUUCUCUGAGUAGCCACAGAAAUUUAGAAUCGCACCAAUUCAGAGCAGCGGUGAGGGGUAUAACCAGAAAUGUUCAGACACAAGGUUGGUGGCAGUGUUGAUAGUCACCAGCAUCCCCUAUGGGACUUGAUUGAAAACAAAUUUCUCAUCCUAAGAGGCCACCCUUUGGCUUACUCUGUGGGUUUUAUCUGAGAUAUUGCAAGAUCACUACUUUUGUCCCCUCCCUUCCACACACACACCUAGUACUGGGGAUUGAGCCCCAGUACUUUAACACUGAGCUGCAUUCCCAGUUCUUUUUAUUUUAUUUUUUUAUCUUGAGAUAGGGUCUUGCUAAUUUGCCCAGGCUGAUCUCUAACUUGUGAUCCUCCUGCCUCAGCCUCCCAAAUCACUGGAAUUAUAGACAUGUACCACCAUACCUGUUUUCUUCUAUUGUGUGAGUGUGAAAUAUUAUCAGAAAAAAAUAUUUCUCUACUUUUACGUAUCUCCAGAAAAUAUUAAUAAAUUAGAUUAUGAAUUUAUCUUAAGUUUUAUAAAGCUCUAUUCUGUAGCUGGGAUUACAGACAUGGACAACUAUGCCCAGCAAGAUUGCUAUUUUUUUUUCUUUACUAUUUUCUUUCUUUACUUUCUCUCCUUUUUGUCUUAAAAAAGUUCUUAACAAUUUUAUGUCAAACUCUUAUUUAGAGAGUGAUUCAAAUACCAGACGCAUACAAAGAAUAUGUAAAGUUUCCAAGAAGCUUUGGAUAAAGAGCAGAAGUUCAGACGGGACCCACCCAAGGCUGCGGGUGCAGUCUGCAGCCAGACCCAGGGCUUGUCAGCUCCCGGUGCUUUGGCAGGGAAAAGGGUUUGAGCCACUGGCCUGUGGAUUCCCCAGGGUAAGGGAAGCCUGCCGGAGUUCAAGGGAAAAUGAAGAGCCCUGGAAAGAACACAUGUGCAGCUGAUGGCAGCACUUUCUCUGAAGCUGAACCCUCUGACACUCCAUCGCUUGGUAAUUAACAUUCUGUGCAAUGGGAGCUUUCUGUGAGAGCUCUUUCCUGGAGGAAGGUUGUGGGGGAGGCUUGGAGAAAAGGGGCAAUUUUCAGCAGGGAUGAACCUACAGAAGAGAGAGCUUCAGAAAGCAGGGCACUGGAGGACUAUUCUUUGUGCAGUGUUUUGUUGAUCAAAUAAAAUGCUUUACCAGA